GCCUGGUUGACUCAGUUGACAGAGUGUGUGACUCUUGAUCCCUAGGUUGUGAGUUCGAGACCCACACUGGGUG
rnacentral:tRNA from 1 species